CGUACCUUCUCUUCGGAGCAGGAGUGACAGGUGGUGCAUGGUUGUCGUCAGCUCGUGUCGUGAGAUGUUGGGUUAAGUCCCGCAACGAGCGCAACCCUUAUCUUUAGUAGCCAGCGGUUCGGCCGGGCACUCUAGAGAGACUGCCAGGGAUAACCUGGAGGAAGGCGGGGAUGACGUCAAAUCAUCAUGCCCCUUAUGACUUGGGCUACACACGUGCUACAAUGGCGUAAACAAAGGGAAGCAAAGCUGUGAAGCCGAGCAAAUCUCAAAAAUAACGUCUCAGUUCGGACUGUAGUCUGCAACCCGACUACACGAAGCUGGAAUCGCUAGUAAUCGCAGAUCAGAAUGCUGCGGUGAAUACGUUCCCGGGUCUUGU
rnacentral:rRNA from 1 species